AGAGUUUGAUCCUGGCUCAGGAUGAACGCUAGCUACAGGCUUAACACAUGCAAGUCGAGGGGAAACGACAUCGAAAGCUUGCUUUUGAUGGGCGUCGACCGGCGCACGGGUGAGUAACGCGUAUCCAACCUGCCCACCACUUGGGGAUAACCUUGCGAAAGUAAGACUAAUACCCAAUGACGUCUCUAGAAGACAUCUGAAAAGAGAUUAAAGAUUUAUCGGUGAUGGAUGGGGAUGCGUCUGAUUAGCUUGUUGGGCGGGGUAACGGCCCACCAAGGCUACGAUCAGUAGGGGUUCUGAGAGGAAGGUCCCCCACAUUGGAACUGAGACAACGGUCCAAAACUCGUACGGGAGGCA
rnacentral:rRNA from 1 species